UAAACUAGGAUUAGAUACCCUAUUAUUUUAAAUGUGAAUUUAUAAUACUAAAUUAGUAUAAGUUAUGUUCUUGAAAAUUAAAAAAUUUGGCGGUGUUUUAGUCUUUUCAGAGGAACCUGUCCUAUAAUUGAUAGUCCACGAUUAAAUAAACUUUAUUUAUUAGUUUACAUAUCGUCGUAGUUUGAAUAUUUUAAUAGAAAUUAAAUGUUCUAAAUUUUACAUUAAAAAAUAAAUCAGAUCAAGGUGUAGUUUAUAAUAAAGGAGAGAUGGGUUACAAUAAAUUUAUUUUAGGAUAAUUUUUUUUAAAAAAAUUAGAAUUUGGAUUUGAGAGUAAUUUUAAUAUAUUUAUAUAAAAUGAUUAUAGCUCUAAAAUAUGCACACAUCGCCCGUCGCUCUUAA
rnacentral:rRNA from 1 species